GACGAACGCUGGCGGCGUGCCUAACACAUGCAAGUCGAGCGAGGAGAGUUCCUUUGGGAACAAACCUAGCGGCGGACGGGUGAGUAACACGUGGGCAACCUGCCUUGUAGAGGGAAUAGCCUUCCGAAAAGGAAGAUUAAUACCGCAUAACAUUACAGUUUCGCAUGAAACAGUAAUUAAAGGAGCAAUCCGCUACAAGAUGGGCCCGCGGCGCAUUAGCUAGUUGGUGAGGUAACGGCUCACCAAGGCGACGAUGCGUAGCCGACCUGAGAGGGUGAUCGGCCACAUUGGGACUGAGACACGGCCCAGACUCCUACGGGAGGCAGCAGUGGGGAAUAUUGCACAAUGGGGGAAACCCUGAUGCAGCAACGCCGCGUGAGUGAUGAAGGUUUUCGGAUCGUAAAGCUCUGUCUUCGGGGACGAUAAUGACGGUACCCGAGGAGGAAGCCACGGCUAACUACGUG
rnacentral:rRNA from 1 species